CAAAUUUCUGCAAUAAAAACAUUUUGCUAGGAUUUUUAUUGGAACUGCACUAUAUUUACAGAUUAAUUUGCGGGACCUGAACAAUUCUACAAAGAUAAGUUGUCCCAACCAAGAACAUGACAUUAAUAUUUAUUUAUGCAGAAUUUCUUAUCCUCUAUUUCUAUAUUUUUUCUCUUUCAUUCAUUUGAAUAUUUUUUAAAAGUAGCACAUGCACAUAGUAAAUGCAAACAGUAAAAAGGGAUAUAUUAAUACAUAUUAAAAUCCUGACCAACAGGAGCAAUGGAACUCCAAAAGAAAAUGUCCCUGUGGAGUAGACCAUGGAAAAUCCUAUUAGCAGUGGAAAUGUCAGCAGGAGGAAAGUACCUUGUCUGAGCCAUGGGAAAUCCAGUCACAUAUUCCUGGUAGAGACCUUUGAAGGACAAAAGCACUUAUAAAAACAGUUUCAAACUCCUGCCAGGCCCAAGGAAUGAGAAGUUAUCUGAUUUAUUUGUUAAAUUUAGAUCUCUAGUGAUCACCCAUAUAACCAUAGUCCUGUUUAAAAAUCAGGCAUUCUCUAGUAGUCAUUAUCUGAAGGUCUUUUUCUGGUGUAGAAUGUUGGUACGACAGCCCUCAAUGUCCAAGGCAGGGAUUGCUCUUCCCCAUUCCCCACUGUAAGAGUUGGGGAGAUCGGAAUCUGCUGUUGAAAGCAUGUGGACUCCCUUUUGCAGGCCCUCUGCAGUCUUUCUCCAUGUGCCAGGGAGGCCUUCCCACACCGCAGGAAAUACAAAUCUCAGGCCUUUUAGUUUACAUAAAGAAAUUUCUAUCUUGCCCUCUACAAAUCUGAAACUUGAAGACAUCAGAUCUCCUUUCAACCAACAACAAGGAAUAUCUGCACUACAGGUGCAGAAAUUGAAGUACAGAUUUCAAUAACUUACCCAAGAUCCUACGUAUUUUCCUACAUAAAACAGUAGGUUCAAGAUUUCAAUCCAGAAAGGACCAAGAGCCUCACCUAAACUAUCAUCCUUCCAAAAGUGGGUCUAAUAGCAGGAAGAGCGACUGGAAGGGAGAAAGAAGAGAAUAAUACAAUGUUUAUUGAAAGACUGAUGUGGGUGUUUGGAGGAGAUGUUAUGGAGCUAAACUGCUGGCAAAAUGGGAAGUAGGCAACUUUGCUUUUGAUACCAGUUGCCACCAUUUCGUCCUCCAGUGGAUUAAACUCCUUAAGUGUUUGUUGCAUUAGAUACCCAACACAUAUUUGUUGAGUAAGAUGUUUUCUUCGUUUUCCUUCUUUUUGAAGUUAAUUCCCUACGAAAUCAGUGCCCUAACACUGCCCCCUAGUGGCUAAAGGAUCCCUGCGUUGGACACUGCACCUGAGCCUGAACCUUCCUGGCAAUGCUGUGGGAGGGAGGCUGGGUUUUCUUUGUCUGACUGUGUAGUUCCCUCUCCCACCAAAGGGCGCUGAGGAUAUUAAAGGACACCAGUAGUGUAGACAGAAGGGAUACGGUUUUCCUUCUUUUAAAUUGCACAUUGGAUGCUUUGUAACCUUAUCCAAAUUGGCCAAAAAGUCUUAUUAAAAAUUUCUACCAUGUAAAAGGGUGAUGAAGUAUGGUACAUGCUAUAUGGAUAGCAUGGAUAUGUGCAAGAGAUGUCUCCCCCAACCCCCAGUUUAAAACUCAAAGUGACUUCUUAGCCAAACUUCCUUUUAGAAAAAUAGUUAAACGUAGCUUUCCUUUCUUGAGAGUAAUCUUUCUUUCCUUUUAAUAAAUUUUUAAAACUCAUAAAGCAAACAUGAAAACAAACAGAAAAAACAGGCUUAAGCCAAAAUUGGGGUUUAAUUUUUAAAGGUAGUCUUGGUAAAUUGAAUUUAAAGUUGUAAGUUGAUUUUAACUACUGUGAUUGACAAUACCAAAUAGUAAAGCAAUUAAAACCAAAAGUCAGAGCAAUUAAAAAUCGAUUCUAAAGCACAAUUUUAUGUGACUUUGAAAAACAUUUUCUUUCUUUUUAUUUUUAGAGUUGGGGUCUUGCUGUGUAUCCCAGGCUGGAUUCA